UAUUUUAUUAGUUUUACAUAAUUAAAUGUCAGUUCUACUACAGAAUGAUUCUUGUUUUGCUUUCUAACCACAUCUUAAUGUCAUAUUCUUCAUGUUAGGGUCUGUUAGGGGAACACUUUUUCUUAGCAUGAGAGAGUAAUUAUACCUCUGGUAACUGUUUAAACUCUGUCUGUCCACUGUAUCUUUCCUAUCUUUUUUUUUUUUAAUAAUCUACUCCAUCUAGAUUAUCCAUCUAAUUAAAAUGUCCUCUGUUUUUACUCAUUCCUAACUGUAUUUUUCUUCCACAGAAUACUCAAGUAUGUCUACAUGGGUAAACGCAAUGAUUGGUAUAUGUGUUGUGGUUGUGGUUGGAUUGCUGUGCCUUGUGUGUUGCAAGUGUUUCAAGAAACACUCAGACCAUGAAAAGGUUGAAAAAAUGGAUGAGGUUGGAUUCUAACUCCCUCACAUACCUGGUCUUCAUGAAGUUGUCCUGCAUGAAAUCCAAGUGAAGAAUCCUGCAAAUAUAUAUACGCACUUCCCAGAACCCGGCAAGAGGCGGACUGAUUUCCCGCAACAAAUUCCUCCAUAGUCAGAACCAAUGUUGCUU